rnacentral:rRNA from 1 species
AGACCCGAAACCCGGUGAUCUAGCCAUGGGCAGGUUGAAGGUUGGGUAACACUAACUGGAGGACCGAACCGACUAAUGUUGAAAAAUUAGCGGAUGACCUGUGGCUGGGGGUGAAAGGCCAAUCAAACCGGGAGAUAGCUGGUUCUCCCCGAAAGCUAUUUAGGUAGCGCCUCGUGAAUUCAUCUCCGGGGGUAGAGCACUGUUUCGGCUAGGGGGCCAUCCCGGCUUACCAACCCGAUGCAAACUGCGAAUACCGGAGAAUGUUAUCACGGGAGACACACGGCGGGUGCUAACGUCCGUCGUGAAGAGGGAAACAACCCAGACCGCCAGCUAAGGUCCCAAAGUCAUGGUUAAGUGGGAAACGAUGUGGGAAGGCCCAGACAGCCAGGAUGUUGGCUUAGAAGCAGCCAUCAUUUAAAGAAAGCGUAAUAGCUCACUGGUCGAGUCGGCCUGCGCGGAAGAUGUAACGGGGCUAAACCAUGCACCGAAGCUGCGGCAGCGACGCUUAUGCGUUGUUGGGUAGGGGAGCGUUCUGUAAGCCUGUGAAGGUGGCCUGUGAGGGUUGCUGGAGGUAUCAGAAGUGCGAAUGCUGACAUAAGUAACGAUAAAGCGGGUGAAAAGCCCGCUCGCCGGAAGACCAAGGGUUCCUGUCCAACGUUAAUCGGGGCAGGGUGAGUCGACCCCUAAGGCGAGGCCGAAAGGCGUAGUCGAUGGGAAACGGGUUAAUAUUCCCGUACUUGGUGUUACUGCGAAGGGGGGACGGAGAAGGCUAUGUUGGCCGGGCGACGGUUGUCCCGGUUUAAGCGUGUAGGUGUGUGUUCCAGGUAAAUCCGGUUCACUUUAACACUGAGGCGUGAUGA